rnacentral:rRNA from 1 species
UACGUAGGUGGCAAGCGUUGUCCGGAUUUACUGGGCGUAAAGGGCAGGCAGGCGGGCUGUUAAGUAGAAAGUGAAAGGUCGGGGCUCAACCCCAACAUUGCUUUUAUACUGGCAGCCUUGAAUCCCGGAGGGGAAAGCGGAACGACACGUGUAGCGGUGAAAUGCGUUGAUAUGUGUCGGAACACCAAUGGCGAAGGCAGCUUUCUGGACGGGAUUGACGCUCAACGUGCGAAGCCGAGGUAGCGAACAGG